rnacentral:rRNA from 1 species
GUGCACGCUGGCGGUAGGCCUAACACCUGCAAGUCGAACGGCAGCACAGUAAGAGCUUGCUCUUACGGGUGGCGAGUGGCGGACGGGUGAGGAAUACAUCGGAAUCUACUUUUUCGUGGGGGAUAACGUAGGGAAACUUACGCUAAUACCGCAUACGACCUACGGGUGAAAGCAGGGGAUCUUCGGACCUUGCUCGAUUGAAUGAGCCGAUGUCGGAUUAGCUAGUUGGCGGGGUAAAGGCCCACCAAGGCGACGAUCCGUAGCUGGUCUGAGAGGAUGAUCAGACACACUGGAACUGAGACACGGUCCAGACUCCUACGGGAGGCAGCAGUGGGGAAUAUUGGACAAUGGGCGCAAGCCUGAUCCAGCCAUACCGCGUGGGUGAAGAAGGCCUUCGGGUUGUAAAGCCCUUUUGUUGGGAAAGAAAAGCAGCAGGUUAAUACCCCGCUGUUCUGACGGUACCCAAAGAAUAAGCACCGGCUAGCUUCGUG